GACGAACCGUGCGAACGUUGUUCGGAUUCACUGGGCUUAAAGGGCGCGUAGGCGGGCGACCAAGUCCGGGGUGAAAUCUUUCGGCUCAACCGGAAGAGUGCCUUGGAUACUGGUUGCCUCGAGGGAGGUAGGGGCAUGCGGAACUUCCGGUGGAGCGGUGAAAUGCGUAGAUAUCUACAGGAACUCCGGUGGCGAAGGCGGCACGCUGGACCUUUUCUGACGCUGAGGCGCGAAAGCCAGGGGAGCGAACGGG
rnacentral:rRNA from 1 species